rnacentral:rRNA from 1 species
AUUGAACGCUGGCGGCAUGCCUUACACAUGCAAGUCGAACGGCAGCACGGGUGCUUGCACCUGGUGGCGAGUGGCGAACGGGUGAGUAAUACAUCGGAACGUACCUUAUCGUGGGGGAUAACGCAGCGAAAGUUGCGCUAAUACCGCAUACGCCCUGAGGGGGAAAGCGGGGGACCGUAAGGCCUCGCGCGAUUAGAGCGGCCGAUGUCUGAUUAGCUUGUUGGUGAGGUAAAAGCUCACCAAGGCGAUGAUCAGUAGCUGGUCUGAGAGGACGAUCAGCAGCACUGGGACUGAGACACGGCCCAGGCUCCUACGGGAGGCAGCAGUGGGGAAUUUUGGACAAUGGGGGCAACGCUGAUCCAGCAAUGCCGCGUGAGUGAAGCAGGCCUUCGGGUUGUAAAGCUCUUUUGUCAGGGAAGAAACAGCAGCUCUAACACAGUCUGCGAAUGACGGUACCUGAAGAAUAAGCACCGGCUAACUAUGUGCCAGCAGCCGCAGUAA